UACGAAGGGGGCUAGCGUUGCUCGGAAUCACUGGGCGUAAAGGGCGCGUAGGCGGCUGAUUUAGUCGAGGGUGAAAGCCCGUGGCUCAACCACGGAAUGGCCUUCGAUACUGGUUGGCUUGAGACCGGAAGAGGACAGCGGAACUGCGAGUGUAGAGGUGAAAUUCGUAGAUAUUCGCAAGAACACCAGUGGCGAAGGCGGCUGUCUGGUCCGGUUCUGACGCUGAGGCACGAAAGCGUGGGGAGCAAACAGG
rnacentral:rRNA from 1 species